AUGGGACAGCGGGAAGGGCGACCACCUCUGCAGCCCGCAGCUGCUCAGACCGGGCAGCCUCCUGCUCUUGGUGGCCGGGGUCGCCUGUGGGUCGGUGUGCCACCCUCUGGAGGCGGCCUGUGGGAGAAGGGCAGUGGGCAGGAGGAGACGGAAGGUCUGCUGGAAAGUGGCACCCUGUGGGUUACUUCCUUGGAGGAGACUGACCUCGAUGUCCGAGAGCUCUGGCCUCUUCCUCCCUCCCUGCAGGGUGGCGGUCCUUCCUGAGCUAAGUGGGGUCCUGAGCUAAGAGGCUUCCCUCCGCCCCAUGGAAACUCUUAUUUAUUGAGUUCUGAAGGUUGGAACUGCAGCCACGAUUUUGGCCACCUCGCAGACCUGGGACUUUAGGGCUAACCCGUUCUCUUUGUAAGGACUUGUGCCUCUUGGGAGAUGUCCGCCUGUUCCCACGUCUGGCCUCAGGCAUCUCUGGAGUGUGUGGGGGUCUGGAGGUGGGUUCCGAGACUCCCGUCCCUCCCACGGUCACUGCAGCCACCUCUGUCUGCCCUGCCUGUGCCGUGUGUCUGCUGUGAGAGCCAAUCACUGCCUGUACUCCUCAUCACGUCACACUGUCCCGAGUUCCCAGCCUCACCACCCCCCUCCUCAGCAGUGGACAUUGGUUGGAUAUGGGAGGCACCUACUCUAAGUGGGGAAACCAAAAGAAGGCAAAGUCCAGGCACAAAGGUUGAGCCUCAGUCUCUCGCUCCAAGUUCCACUCAUCCUAUGGGUGUGCCUCUCACAGCGGAUUUGAUGACCUUAUUCGAUUCCCUGCCCCCACCUCCCAUCACAGAUGUGAGCCAGGGCGCUGCUCAGCAAUGACCCUACACGUUCUUGCCUUGACGUGGAGAGAGCCUUUCCCUCCCAGAAGGCCUGGUCCCUUCUUGUGUUGAGCUGGCAGCAGGAGUUGGGUGUUGCCAAUGAUAGCACCAGGAUGGAUAGGCAAGGCUCCCCCCCGGCAGGAUCACUGUUCCUCCGUCCCCGACUUGUGCCCCAGCUUGAGACUGCCAGCCUCCCAGAGAGCCCAGCCACUGUUCACCUCCACGUGCAUAUAAUCAGCCCUCCACACCCCCAAAAGGGGAACAUGCCCCCUCAGAAAUGGUUCUUCCCCCCAGUCCCAGCUGGAAGCAAUGCUGUCUGUUCUGCUGGAGCAGCUGAACAUAUACGUAGAUGUUGCCCUUCCUCCCCUGUCUGCACUCUGUUGCCUUGUAGUUGGAUUUGUCUGUUUAUGCUUGGAUUCACCAGAGUGACUAUGAUAGUG